AUUGUUUACACUUCUAUGACCAGGCCUUAAGGGAAGGUCAGUUUUUUAAAAAACCAAGUAGUGUCUUCCUACCUAUCUCCAGAUACAUGUCAAAAAAAGAAAGGUGUUUGUGCUUCCGUUUUGUUUCUGCUCAGUAAUAUAGUCAAGCAAGUUUGUUCCAGGUGACCCAUUGAGCUGUGUAUGCAUUUUUGUUUAUUUCAAUAAAAUAUAUUUGUAUUAUUUGUCCUUCAUACUAUCCAUCCAUACCACACUAUCUUCUGUAUCAGGUAGUCUAAUAGAAAUAUACCUGUUUUGUUCU
rnacentral:lncRNA from 1 species